GACGAACGCUGGCGGCGUGCUUAACACAUGCAAGUCGAACGGAAAGGCCCUGCUUUUGUGGGGUGCUCGAGUGGCGAACGGGUGAGUAACACGUGAGUAACCUGCCCUUGACUUUGGGAUAACUUCAGGAAACUGGGGCUAAUACCGGAUAUGAGCUCCUGCUGCAUGGUGGGGGUUGGAAAGUUUCGGCGGUUGGGGAUGGACUCGCGGCUUAUCAGCUUGUUGGUGGGGUAGUGGCUUACGAAGGCUUUGACGGGUAGCCGGCCUGAGAGGGUUAACGGCGACAUUGGGACUGAGAGACGGACCAGACGCCUACGGGAGGCAGCAGUGGGGAAUAUUGCACAAUGGGCGGAAGCCUGAUGCAGAAACGCCGCGUGCGGGAUGACGGCCUACGGGUGGUAAACCGAUUUCGCCGGUGACGAAGCGUGAGUGACGGUAAUGGGUAAAGAAGCACCGGCUAACUACGUG
rnacentral:rRNA from 1 species